rnacentral:rRNA from 1 species
GACGAACGCUGGCGGCGUGCUUAACACAUGCAAGUCGAACGGAAAGGCCCUGCUUUUGUGGGGUGCUCGAGUGGCGAACGGGUGAGUAACACGUGAGUAACCUGCCCUUGACUUUGGGAUAACUUCAGGAAACUGGGGCUAAUACCGGAUAGGAGCUCCUGCUGCAUGGUGGGGGUUGGAAAGUUUCGGCGGUUGGGGAUGGACUCGCGGCUUAUCAGCUUGUUGGUGGGGUAGUGGCUUACCAAGGCUUUGACGGGUAGCCGGCCUGAGAGGGUGACCGGCCACAUUGGGACUGGGAUACGGCCCAGACUCCUACGGGAGGCAGCAGUGGGGAAUAUUGCACAAUGGGCGGAAGCCUGAUGCAGCAACGCCGCGUGCGGGAUGACGGCCUUCGGGUUGUAAACCGCUUUCGCCUGUGACGAAGCGUGAGUGACGGUAAUGGGGAAAGAAGCACCGGCUAACUACGU